rnacentral:rRNA from 1 species
CAGUCGCCACGGGAAUACGUAGGGCGCAAGCGUUAUCCGGAAUUAUUGGGCGUAAAGAGCUCGUAGGCGGUUUGUCGCGUCUGCCGUGAAAGUCCGGGGCUCAACCCCGGAUCUGCGGUGGGUACGGGCAGACUAGAGUGAUGUAGGGGAGACUGGAAUUCCUGGUGUAGCGGUGAAAUGCGCAGAUAUCAGGAGGAACACCGAUGGCGAAGGCAGGUCUCUGGGCAUUAACUGACGCUGAGGAGCGAAAGCAUGGGGAGCGAACAGGAUUAGAGACCCCCGUAGUCCCUGUCUCUUAUAA